GGCGACGAUCUGUAGCUGGUCUGAGAGGACGACCAGCCACACUGGGACUGAGACACGGCCCAGACUCUACGGGAGGCAGCAGUGGGGAAUUUUGGACAAUGGGCGAAAGCCUGAUCCAGCAAUGCCGCGUGUGUGAAGAAGGCCUUCGGGUUGUAAAGCACUUUUGUCCGGAAAGAAAACCUCUGAGUUAAUACCCCGGGGGGAUGACGGUACCGGAAGAAUAAGCACCGGCUAACUACGUGCCAGCAGCCGCGGUAAUACGUAGGGUGCAAGCGUUAAUCGGAAUUACUGGGCGUAAAGCGUGCGCAGGCGGUUCGCUAAGACAGAUGUGAAAUCCCCGGGCUUAACCUGGGAACUGCAUUUGUGACUGGCGGGCUAGAGUAUGGCAGAGGGGGGUAGAAUUCCACGUGUAGCAGUGAAAUGCGUAGAGAUGUGGAGGAAUACCGAUGGCGAAGGCAGCCCCCUGGGCCAAUACUGACGCUCAUGCACGAAAGCGUGGGGAGCAAACAGGAUUAGAUACCCUGGUAGUCCACGCCCUAAACGAUGUCAACUAGUUGUCGGGUCUUCAUUGACUUGGUAACGUAGCUAACGCGUGAAGUUGACCGCCUGGGGAGUACGGUCGCAAGAUUAAAACUCAAAGGAAUUGACGGGGACCCGCACAAGCGGUGGAUGAUGUGGAUUAAUUCGAUGCAACGCGAAAAACCUUACCUACCCUUGACAUGUAUGGAAUCCUGCCGAGAGGUGGGAGUGCCCGAAAGGGAGCCA
rnacentral:rRNA from 1 species